AAACCAACAGGGAUUGCCUUAGUAACGGCGAGUGAAGCGGCAAAAGCUCAAAUUUGAAAUCUGGCACCUUCGGUGUCCGAGUUGUAAUUUGAAGAAGGUAACUUUGGAGUUGGCUCUUGUCUAUGUUCCUUGGAACAGGACGUCACAGAGGGUGAGAAUCCCGUGCGAUGAGAUGCCCAAUUCUAUGUAAAGUGCUUUCGAAGAGUCGAGUUGUUUGGGAAUGCAGCUCUAAGUGGGUGGUAAAUUCCAUCUAAAGCUAAAUAUUGGCGAGAGACCGAUAGCGAACAAGUACAGUGAUGGAAAGAUGAAAAGAACUUUGAAAAGAGAGUGAAAAAGUACGUGAAAUUGUUGAAAGGGAAGGGCUUGAGAUCAGACUUGGUAUUUUGCGAUCCUUUCCUUUUUGGUUGGGUUCUCCGCAGCUUACUGGGCCAGCAUCGGUUUGGACGGUAGGAUAAUGAUUAAGGAAUGUGGCUCUGCUUCGGUGGAGUGUUAUAGCCUUGGUUGAUGCUGCCUGUCUAGACCGAGGACUGCGUCUUU
rnacentral:rRNA from 1 species